AGACCGGUAUUUAGAGAGGACAAUUCAUAUCGGCCUUUGGAGCCGGUGACGGAGGUUCGAAUCCUCUGGGGGCUA
rnacentral:tRNA from 1 species